GGGGUUGUUGUUCAGUGGCAGAGCGUCUGCUUUAGAUGCAGAAGGUCCCAGGUUCAAUCCCUGGUAUCUCCA